rnacentral:lncRNA from 1 species
CCUUUUAUAACUUUCACAACAAUUCUCUGUGCCUCCAUUCUUGUAUCAAAUUUUAGGAAAGAAAAAAAAAGUUUCUUCAUUGUGCUGAUGUGCUUUCUCGUUUAGCCUUCGCCUCUCCUGUUCAUGCUAAGAUCAUGCUGGUGCCGCCGAACGAUGUUAUUCCACGUCUGGCCUCAGUUCUUACCGCAUCUGUGCUAUGAAGUCCUGGGCUUCAUUCCCUUUUCAACUGAAAGAGAAAAAAGGUUUCCAUGUGCUUUAAAAGUUAAUCAUCUGAGCUGUAUGGAACAUUCAACAUAGGAAGCACUAUAAAAGCAAAAAUACAACAGAACCAAAAAAUGCACCACUUUUCUUAUGUAAAUUUAUAUACCUGUUCCAUGGUGAAGACCACCACCAAUCAGCCAAUCAUCACUGCUGCUUCUUGAAUGGCUUCUGUCACCAUCUAUUUGUAUGUUCAUCAUCAUCAUCAUUAGAAAAAUCCCAACCACCGCCCCAGUAGGCUCUAAAACCUCUCUGCUCUC